CCCUCGGCGCGCCCCGCAGUGUGUGCUGCUGCCUGAGCGGGCUGGUGGAGCUGGCUGUAGAGAAUGUUCCAGAACAGGACCGGGAGAAGUCGAUAGUGGGGAGCCCGUGUUCCCAAGCCGCUGCGUUGCUCUUGACCCCGUGGACUCCCGGGGAAUUGGAACUCGGGGUGGGAAGCGGUUCUGGGUCGGCCCCACAGUGUCCGUUCUGCACACACGCACGCGUUUCCCAGAAUCCUAACUUCAAGCUGAGAAGGCCCUGAUGGGAGGCUCCUAGGAAGCAGCUUAGCUCCGGUCCUCACAUCCCCCACUGCCCAUGGGCUGGGCACAAAUGCCUCAUAUUGAUGGCGCACACGGAUGCUCUUGGGGCUGAAAGGAGGUGUGAGCAGUGGCGUGCUUGGGUGUUUUCCAGUGUUGUAUAUGUAAGCAUCUAAGUCAGAUUAAAAUGUGAGUGAACCAGCA